CCUACGGGAGGCUGCAGUGGGGAAUAUUGCACAAUGGGCGAAAGCCUGAUGCAGCAACGCCGCGUGAAGGAAGACGGUUUUCGGAUUGUAAACUUCUAUCAAUAGGGAAGAAAGAAAGGACGGGACCGAAAGAAGAAGCAGCGGCUAACUACGGGCCAGCAGCCGCGGUAAGACGUAGGGGGCAAGCGUUAGCCGGAAUUACGGGGGGUAAAGGGAGAGGAGGCGGCAAGGGAAGAGAUAGGGGAAAGCCUGAGGCUUAACCAAAGGAGUGCCUAACGAACUCUCUAGCUAGAGUACAGGAGAGGCCAGCGGACUUCCUCGUGUCGCGGUGAACUGCG
rnacentral:rRNA from 1 species